GAGGAAUAUUGGUCAAUGGGCGAGAGCCUGAACCAGCCAAGUCGCGUGAAGGAAGACUGCCUUAUGGGUUGUAAACUUCUUUUAUACAGGAAUAAAAAGGCUUACGUGUAGGCCAUUGCAAGUACUGUAUGAAUAAGCAUCGGCUAACUCCGUGCCAGCAGCCGCGGUAAUACGGAGGAUGCGAGCGUUAUCCGGAUUUAUUGGGUUUAAAGGGUGCGCAGGCGGGCUUUUAAGUCAGCGGGGAAAUCUGGACGCUUAACGUCCAAACUGCGGUGGAACUGGGGGUCUUGAGUAAGGAAUAAGUUAGGGGGAAUCCUUGGUGAGCGGGUAAAUGGAUAGAUAUAACGAGGAACUCCGAUUGGGUAAGGAGCUUAAUAAGCCAUAACUGACGCUCAAGGACGAAAGGGUUGGGAACAAACA
rnacentral:rRNA from 1 species